UAGGGAAUAUUAGUAAUGGGCGAAAGCCUGAACUAGCAACGCCGCGUGUGCGAAGAAGGCCUUCGGGUUGUAAAGCACUUUUAGAGAGGAUGAGGAAGGACGGUACUCUCAGAAUAAGUCUCGGCUAACUACGUGCCAGCAGCCGCGGUAACACGUAGGAGGCGAACGUUAUCCGGAUUUACUGGGCGUAAAGCGCGUGUAGGUGGUUUGGUAAGUAGGGCGUGAAAGCUCCCGGCUCAACUGGGAGAGGCCGUUCUAAACUGCCAAGCUAGAGGAUGGUAGAGGGAGGUGGAAUUCCGGGUGUAGCGGUGGAAUGCGCAGAUAUCCGGAGGAACACCAGUGGCGAAGGCGGCCUCCUGGGCCACUCCUGACACUCAGACGCGAAAGCUAGGGUAGCAAACGG
rnacentral:rRNA from 1 species